AGUAGGAUCCAUGCCUGGUUGGCCACCCAGUAAUCAGCACAAGUUAGAAUGUGGGCAACUCAGCAAUCGUUGCGCAGGCAUUUUGGUGACUCUAGAUAACCUCGGGCCGAUCGCACGCCCCCGUGAUGGCGACGACGCAUUCGGAUGUCUGCCCUAUCAACUUUCGAUGGUACUUUCUGCGCUUACCAUGGUGACCACGGGUAACGUGGAAUCAGGGUUCGAUUCCAUUGAGGCAGCCUGCGAAAUGGCUACCACAUCCAAGGAAGGCAGCAGGCACGCAAAUUACCCACUGCCGAUUCGGGGAGGUAGU